CUACGUGCCAGCAGCCGCGGUAAUACGUAGGGCGCGAGCGUUGUCCGGAAUUAUUGGGCGUAAAGAGCUUGUAGGCGGUUUGUCGCGUCUGCUGUGAAAGGCCGGGGCUUAACUCCGUGUAUUGCAGUGGGUACGGGCAGACUAGAGUGCAGUAGGGGAGACUGGAAUUCCUGGUGUAGCGGUGGAAUGCGCAGAUAUCAGGAGGAACACCGAUGGCGAAGGCAGGUCUCUGGGCUGUAACUGACGCUGAGAAGCGAAAGCAUGGGGAGCGAACAGGAUUAGAUACCCUGGUAGUCCAUGCCGUAAACGUUGGGCACUAGGUGUGGGGAACAUUCCACGUUUUCCGCGCCGUAGCUAACGCAUUAAGUGCCCCGCCUGGGGAGUACGGCCGCAAGGCUAAAACUCAAAGAAAUUGACGGGGGCCCGCAACAAGCGGCGGAGCAUGCGGAUUAAUUCGAUGCAACGCGAAGAACCUUACCAAGGCUUGACAU
rnacentral:rRNA from 1 species